CCUGGCCCACCUUCAGCCAUGAAGAUCAUUUAUCUGCUCUUUGCUGUUUUCUUUCUGGUGUUACAAGGUGUGCCAGAAUUCUCCAAGGCUCAGAUUCUCACUGUGAGAUGUAAAAUGCAAGGGGGUCAUUGUUUCUUUGGGAGAUGUCCUCCUAACCGGAGACGCAUUGGAAGAUGCUCUCCAAAUGGGUACUUUUGCUGUCAAACGCGACUUAUUUACUGAUUGUCUAAGCAGGAUCUCCGGGAAUGUGGGAGACAGCCACUUGCUUCUAAAAUCAUCAGAUCUUGCUUCAAUGGAACCCGGAAGUGUAAAGAACCUACUGAGCUGGAGAAAUUCCAGAAGGGAGCUUUGUAUCACCAUAUAAGUUUUGUUCCUCUCCUUUUAAUAAAAGCAAGUUGGUUUGAGGUAA